rfam:Candidate divison MSBL1 archaeon SCGC-AAA259E19 AAA259E19_Contig_12, whole genome shotgun sequence.
GCUGGCGGCCACAGCGGCGGGGCAACACCCGGACCCGUUCCGAACCCGGAAGUUAAGCCCGCCAGCGAUCCGGGCAGUACUCUGGUGCGCGAGCUCAGGGGAGUCCCGGGACGCUGCCAGCC